rnacentral:rRNA from 1 species
GAUGAACGCUGGCGGCGUGCUUAACACAUGCGAGUCGAACGGGAAAUGUUUCAUUGAGCCUUCGGUGGAUUUGAUUUAUUUCUAGUGGCGGACGGGUGAGUAACGCGUGGGUAACCUGCCUUAUACAGGGGGAUAACAGUCAGAAAUGGCUGCUAAUACCGCAUAAGAGCACAGAGCUGCAUGGCUCAGUGUGUACAACUCCGGUGGUAUAAGAUGGACCCGCGUUGGAUUAGCCAGUUGGUGGGGUAACGGCCCACCAAGGCGACGAUCCAUAGCCGGCCUGAGAGGGUGAGCUGCCACAUUGGGACUGAGACACGGCCCAGACUCCUACGGGAGGCAGCAGUGCAGAAUAUUGCACAAUGGGGGAAACCCUGAUGCAGCGACGCCGCGUGAAGGAAGAAGUAUCUCGGUAUGUAAAGUUCUAUCAGCAGGGAAGAUAGUGACGGUACCUGACUAAGAAGCCCCGGCUAACUACGUG